rnacentral:rRNA from 1 species
UAGGGAAUCUUCGGCAAUGGACGGAAGUCUGACCGAGCAACGCCGCGUGAGUGAAGAAGGUUUUCGGAUCGUAAAGCUCUGUUGUAAGAGAAGAACGAGUGUGAGAGUGGAAAGUUCACACUGUGACGGUAUCUUACCAGAAAGGGACGGCUAACUACGUGCCAGCAGCCGCGGUAAUACGUAGGUCCCGAGCGUUGUCCGGAUUUAUUGGGCGUAAAGCGAGCGCAGGCGGUUAGAUAAGUCUGAAGUUAAAGGCUGUGGCUUAACCAUAGUACGCUUUGGAAACUGUUUAACUUGAGUGCAAGAGGGGAGAGUGGAAUUCCAUGUGUAGCGGUGAAAUGCGUAGAUAUAUGGAGGAACACCGGUGGCGAAAGCGGCUCUCUGGCUUGUAACUGACGCUGAGGCUCGAAGGCGUGGGGAGCAAACAGGAUUAGAUACCCUGGUAGUCCACGCCGUAAACGAUGAGUGCUAGGUGUUAGACCCUUUCCGGGGUUUAGUGCCGCAGCUAACGCAUUAAGCACUCCGCCUGGGGAGUACGACCGCAAGGUUG